AUUGAACGCUGGCGGCAGGCUUAACACAUGCAAGUCAAGCGGUAGCACAGGGGAUCUUGCUCCCUGGGUGACGAGCGGCGGACGGGUGAGUCAUGUCUGGGAAACUGCCUGAUGGAGGGGGAUAACUACUGGAAACGGUAGCUAAUACCGCAUAACGUCGCAAGACCAAAGAGGGGGACCUUCGGGCCUCUUGCCCUCAGAUGUGCCCAGAUGGGAUUAGCUAGUAGGUGGGGUAAUGGCUCACCUAGGCGACGAUCCCUAGCUGGUCUGAGAGGAUGACCAGCCACACUGGAACUGAGACACGGUCCAGACUCCUACGGGAGGCAGCAGUGGGGAAUAUUGCACAAUGGGCGCAAGCCUGAUGCAGCCAUGCCGCGUGUGUGAAGAAGGCCUUCGGGUUGUAAAGCACUUUCAGCGAGGAGGAAGGUGGUGAGCUUAAUACGUUCAUCAAUUGACGUUACUCGCAGAAGAAGCACCGGCUAACUACGUG
rnacentral:rRNA from 1 species